rnacentral:rRNA from 1 species
CCUACGGGUGGCUGCAGUCGAGAAUCUUCUGCAAUGGGCGCAAGCCUGACAGAGCGACGCCGCGUGCGGGAUGAAGGCCUUCGGGUUGUAAACCGCUGUCAGUGGGGAGCAAAUGUUAGAGGGUUCUCCCUCUAGCUUGAGCGAUCCGCAGAGGAAGCACAGGCUAAGCUCGUGCCAGCAGCCGCGGUAAGACGAGCUGUGCAAACGUUAUUCGGAAUCACUGGGCUUAAAGAGUUCGUAGGCGGCCUGUUAGGUGAGGUGUGAAAUCCCUCGGCUCAACCGAGGAAUGGCGCUUCAAACCGGCAGGCUUGAGGAAGGUAGAGGUGAGCGGAACUGAUGGUGGAGCGGUGAAAUGCGUUGAUAUCAUCAGGAACACCGGAGGCGAAGGCGGCUCACUGGGCCUUUUCUGACGCUGAGGAACGAAAGCUAGGGUAGCGAAC